CAUAGCAACUGAGGCAGCAGUGCAGAGUCGAGGGGGCUGAAAGGAAACCCAGAGGUUACAAGAAGUCAGCAAGCAGCUCAGGCCAAGGUUCACUCUCCGGAACCCAGGCUGCCAACACCCUCCCCCUCCAGAGUUCUGGAGUUUCGCUUGAAACACAGAAUACAAGGGUUUCUAGGAACGCGUUCAACAGAAGCAAAUACAAUGCAUCCCAGUUCCGGGGACGAAGGUUCUACUGGACGGAGAAAAAGAGCGGGAGCUGCCUGCCUUCCCCUAAGGAGCAUGUGUGAAGGACCAAGACAGCUUCACCCCACGCGCUGGACUCCCGACUUCAGGACCAAGUGAGAACGGAAGCUGGAGGCACUGCAUGCACAAUGGUACACCACAAUACAUGUAAGAACAAUACCCAUACACAUUAAAUAAAAAAUAAAUAAAUCUUGUUUAAAAGGAAGUGAAAACGCAAAUUAGAAUUACCAUAUGGAUGUGUCAAGAAAGGACUCCAUUAAAGAGUAAUUAAGACUUUCCACUGAGUUAAGCAAACCACUUGCCUAACAAAGUUACCAUAAUCGUGUGGAAAUGGGGCAGAUGGAACCGAAUGAGAUGCAAAUGGGGCACAGUCCCCACAUGGAUUUACGGUCUGCAUUCUGUCAGCAAUUCUUCCCCGGAGAAGGACAUGUGGCUACAUGGAUCGAUGUCUAAUGUGUUUCCAGAGCCCAUGAAGCCAGCAAUAGGAGUAGAAACCCUCCUAAGAAGGAGGCUGGUGACAUGGGGCCCAGUCCUGGCUCUACCAGUGAGUGGCUACGUUCCCCUACGCGAGCCAUUGAACUCUACUCCCCUUUCCCUCAUGGGUAAAAUUAAAGAGCCCUGACAAACCACAA